AUGUGAAUCACCUGGGGAAUCCUGUCAAAAUGCAGAUUCUGUUCAGGAGGCCCACAGUGGGGACUGAGAGUCUGUAUUUCUAACAAGCUACUAGGUGAAGUGGAG
rnacentral:miRNA from 1 species